rnacentral:rRNA from 1 species
GAUGAACGCUGGCGGCGUGCCUAAUACAUGCAAGUAGAACGCUGAAGGAAGGAGCUUGCUCUUUCCGGAUGAGUUGCGAACGGGUGAGUAACGCGUAGGUAACCUGCCUGGUAGCGGGGGAUAACUAUUGGAAACGAUAGCUAAUACCGCAUAACAGUAGAUGUUGCAUGAUACCUACUUAAAAGGUGCAAUUGCACCACUACCAGAUGGACCUGCGUUGUAUUAGCUAGUUGGUGAGGUAACGGCUCACCAAGGCGACGAUACAUAGCCGACCUGAGAGGGUGAUCGGCCACACUGGGACUGAGACACGGCCCAGACUCCUACGGGAGGCAGCAGUAGGGAAUCUUCGGCAAUAGACGGAAGUCUGACCGAGCAACGCCGCGUGAGUGAAGAAGGUUUUCGGAUCGUAAAGCUCUGUUGUAAGAGAAGAACGAGUGUGAGAGUGGAAAGUUCACACUGUGACGGUAUCUUACCAGAAAGGGACGGCUAACUACGUG